GCAACCAAAUACGGGACGGACGGGAGGCGCGUGGCGGGCCCGCCACGCGCCUCCCGUCCGUCCAC
rnacentral:miRNA from 1 species